AAAAUUGAGUUUCUUGAACUACCGACUCACUUCGAGUCUUGAGUUGAAGAGUUGAGUUGUUUAUGAUGAUUUAUGAGGUUUUUAUCAUAUGAUUUAUUUACUGUGCGAUCAUGAAAAGUAUGUUUCGUUAUAACUCAAGCCAAGUGAGCCAUCAUUGUAUAUAUGCAUAUUUUCAUAAAAUUGAUGAUGAUAUUUACAUUGUUGCAUACUCCCCUACAUACUCAGUACAUUCC
rnacentral:lncRNA from 1 species